GUAUAUUAAAGUUGUUGCGGUUAAAAAGCUCGUAGUUGGAGUUCUGCCAGGUGCCGCCUGUCCGCCCCAGUGGUGAGUACGUGGCGCGCAUUUGGCCCUUUCAAGGGGAGCGUAUUGCACUUAACUGUGUGGUGCGGGAUCCUUGACUUUUACUUUGAGGAAAUAAGAGUGUUCCAAGCAGGCUCUCGUCGUGCAUAGCUCAGCAUGGAAUAAUAGCAUUGGAUCUCGAUUCCAAACUGUUGGUUGUAGGAAACGAGAUAAUGAUGAAGAGGGAUAGUUGGGGGCAUUCGUAUUUAACUGUCAGAGGUGAAAUUCUUGGAUUUGUUAAAGACGAACUACUGCGAAAGCAUCUGCCAUGGAUGUUUUCAUUGAUCAAGAACGAAAGUUAGGGGAUCGAAGACGAUCAGAUACCGUCCUAGUCUUAACUAUAAACCAUGCCAGCUAGAGAUCGGAGGUUGUUCGUUUUGUGACGCCUUCAGCAUCUUGAGAGAAAUCAAAGCCUUUGGGUUCCGGGGGGAGUAUGGUCGCAAGGCUGAAACUUAAAGG
rnacentral:rRNA from 1 species